UGCCAGCCUCCGCUGUACUCCUGAUGUUGCAAUCGUUAAUCGGAAUUACUGGGCGUAAAGCGCGCGUAGGCGGUUUGUUAAGUGAGAUGUGAAAGCCCAGGGCUCAACCUUGGAACUGCAUCUCAUACUGGCAGGCUAGAGUACGGUAGAGGGGGGUAGAAUUCCACGUGUAGCGGUGAAAUGCGUAGAGAUGUGGAGGAAUACCAGUGGCGAAGGCGGCCCCCUGGAUCGAUACUGACGCUGAGGUGCGAAAGCGUGGGGAGCAAACAGGAUUAGAUA
rnacentral:rRNA from 1 species